AACUUAGUGAGUUGGGUGGAGACAUUUUGGGAGCUCCAGGCCAGAGUCUCUACAAGAUAAGAACUGGCAGGAUGUCACAGCUCUCCUGAAGUUUAAUAUCUGAAAAUAAAUGUUAACUGAAGUAAACAACAAAACUAUUCUCUAAUUCCCGACAGUUAUAUUUUACACAAAUGAAGCUGUCCUGUUGCUGGAGACAUCAAAUUGUGAGGCUAUGGAACCUAGAGAUGAAUCCUCAUUUGGAGAAAAAGCCAACUAUCCAUAUUGUGAAGAACUGCCAGAAGUGACUGUGGCAAAGGCCUAAGUGGUGUACUACAGGAGACCAGAACAUGAAGCCUGACAAAAUCCAACUGAAUAAAUUUGGAAGUGCUGCUUCCCCACAGUAA